AGAUGGAUCAUUCACAUAUAUAUAAACCACAGUGUGUUAAGAGGGUCGGUCAAUACGAUUUCAGGCUGUUGAAUCGACAAUUUCCCUCCUUGAGUUGUACAGUACUGUUUAGUGACUUUGAGCGAUGGAUGUCUCGGAUCUCAUACCGAUGAAGGACGCAGCAAACUGUGAAACGCAGUGUGACUCGCAAACUUCAGAGAAUCAUUAGACUUUUGAACGCAAGAGGCACUCUCAAACAUCGGUUUAGAGUAUGCUCAAUUCAGAGCUUUUUUUGCCUUUCUUUUAGGUAGUUGAAUGUAAAACGGAUAAAGCUUUGAGGCUUCACGGCUUUUUUUUCUAUUUAUCUUGGAUUGUUUGGUGGCAAUUGAACUCCAAAGACACAUGAUAUCGAACAAAAUUGUGCCUGAAUUUAAGCAAGCUUACCCGCUGAAUUUAAGCAUAUUAUUAAGCGGAGGAGAAGAAACUAACUAGGAUUCUUUUAGUAACGGCGAGUGAACAAAGACCUGCUCAAGUUGGAAAUCAACAUAGUCGUGUUGAAUUGUAGUCUAACGAAUUGUUUCCUGUCGUUGUUUUGGGACAAGUCUCUUGAAAAAGCGUAUCGUAGAGGGUGAGAAUCCCGUCAUUUCCCAUAAACAAUUGCGUACGGUGCGAAUUUCCCGAGUCGCGUUUUUUGGUAUUGAAGCGCUAAUUUGGUGAAAAAUUUCAUCUGAAGCUAAAUAUUAUCGAGAUCCCGAUAGCAUACAAGUACCGUGAGGGAACGAUGAAAAGAACUUUGGAAAGAGGGUUAAAAGGAACUGAAAUCGCUGAGAAGUAAGUGGAAAGUUUGUUGUCUCCUGUAGAUUUGCUUUGAUGACAUCGAUAUGGUUUGUUUUGUGGCAAAUUCUACAAGGACCCAGGAUGACGUCGUUGUUUAAGGUUAAUUUUAUCGAGUCUUGUUCAUCUGAACAGCCUAUUUUCGAUCAUCUUAUACUUCGGCGUUACUUUGGUCAUAUUGGUCCAGAGCAGUUCCUGAGAACAUCUUUCUUUCCGUCCCGUCUUGAAACACGGACCAAGGAGUCUAACAUGUAUGCGAGUAGAAUGGUAGAAAGCCCAUAUACGAAAAGAAAUUAACUGUUAGGAUGGAAUACCUUCACUAACGUCCGACUUGUUUUCGAGUCGCGGUCGAGCAUACAAGCUAGGACCCGAAAGAUGGUGAACUAUGCCUGAGUAGGGUGAAGUCAGAGGAAACUCUGGUGGAGGCUCGUAGCGAUACUGACGUGCAAAUCGUUCGUCAAACUUGGGUAUAGGGGCGAAAGACUAAUCGAACUAUCUAGUAGCUGGUUUCCUC
rnacentral:misc_RNA from 1 species